rnacentral:rRNA from 1 species
AGCAGCCGCGGUAAUUCCAGCUCCAAUAGCGUAUAUUAAAGUUGUUGCAGUUAAAAAGCUCGUAGUUGAACUUCAGGCCCGGCGGGGUGGUCUGCCUCACGGUAUGUACUACCCUGCUGGGCCUUACCUCUUGGUGAGCCCGUAUGCCGUUUACUCGGUGUGCGGAGGAACCAGGAAUUUUUACUGUGAAAAAAUUAGAGUGUUCAAAGCAGGCAAAUCGCUUGGAUACAUUAGCAUGGAAUAAUGGAAUAGGACAAUGGUUCUAUUUGUUGGUUUCUAGGACCGUUGUAAUGAUUAAUAGGGAUAGUUGGGGGCAUUAGUAUUCAAUUGUCAGAGGUGAAAUUCUUGGAUUUAUGAAGACUAACUACUGCGAAAGCAUUUAGCCAAGGAUGUUUUCAUUAAUCAAGAACGAAAGUUAGGGAUCGGAAGACGAUCAGAUACCGUCGUAGUCUUAACCAUAAACUAUGCCGACUAGGAAUCAGACGAUGUUAA